rnacentral:misc_RNA from 1 species
AGGAAUAGCAACACUAUCAAACGUAGCAGUAUUAACAAAUGAUUUACAAGGAAUAGCAGCAAGUUUACAUGGUAUUACCAUUCUCUCUCAUCAACAUUAAUCAAGCCCCACCAAAAACCCAAAGAAAGACAAGCAUGAUACACAACAAAUGACAACAAAAGUAUUUGCGAGAUUCUUGCAUCUUUAAUAUAUGGCAAAACUUCAAAUGUGGCACAGGCUAAGCCGGCUUCUGCAUCUUAUUAUCCAUCAAUGCUAUAUGUUCAUGCUGGCAGCACAUUCUGGAUGAACUACUAAUAUUUUGUACAUAACAAAUCAAUCCUCAUUCACCAAUAGAAAACCUAACGAGAUCAGAUGUCUGAUAUUCUAUCUUGUGCAUCUGGAGGAAUCUCCCUUCCUGGGACUUGAACCUUCAGAAGAUUAGCAUACCUACAAAAAA